AAGUCCUGCAACGAGCGCAACCCUUUUCUUUUUUUGCCAGCAUUUUUGGUGGGCACUCCAGGGAGACUGCCGGUUAUAAACCGGAGGAAAGGUGGGGCGAAGUCAAGUCAUUNUGGCCCUUACGAGUAGGGAUACUCACGUCAAAGAAUGGCGCAUACAGAGGGCGGCCAACUUGCGAAAGGGAACGAAUCCCAAAAAGUGCGUCGUAGUCCGGAUUGUAGUCUACAACUCGCCUCCAAGAAGUAGGAAUCGGUAGUAAUGGUUGAUCAGAAUGCCACGGUGAAUAUGUUCCCGGUCUUUGUACACUCCGCCCGUCACCCCAUGGGAGUGGGNUGCAAAAAAAGUGGGUAGUAACNCCUUGGGGAGGGCUCUCCCCUUUUUGUUUUUCAUCNNNGCUGA
rnacentral:rRNA from 1 species